rnacentral:rRNA from 6 species
AACUUUCAACAAUGGAUCUCUUGGUUCUGGCAUCGAUGAAGAACGCAGCGAAAUGCGAUAAGUAGUGUGAAUUGCAGAAUUCAGUGAAUCAUCGAAUCUUUGAACGCACAUUGCGCCCCUCGGUAUUCCGUGGGGCAUGCCUGUUCGAGCGUCAU